CCCGGGCGACGACGGGGUCGGUACGUAACGGUACGUAUGACACCUACAUCACAGGGGGAUAACACUGAGAAAUUGGUACUAAUACCCCAUAAUAUCUCAUGCGGCAUCGCAUGGGGUUGAAAACUCCGGUGGUUGAUGAUGGGCAUGCGUUGUAUUAGCUGGUUGGUGAGGUAACGGCUCACCAAGGCGACGAUACAUAGGGGGACUGAGAGGUUAACCCCCACAUUGGUACUGAGACACGGACCAAACUCCUACGGAAGGCAGCAG
rnacentral:rRNA from 1 species